rnacentral:tRNA from 1 species
GCCUUUGUGGUGUAGUGGUCAGCACGCUCGACGCUUACUCGAAAGGUUCAUGGUUCGAGUCUCGGCGAAGGCG